rnacentral:tRNA from 1 species
GUCCGCGUAGCUCAGUUAGAUCAGAGCGCCACCGUGCGAAGGUGGAGGUCGCAGGUGCGAUUCCUGCCGUGGACGCCA